rnacentral:rRNA from 1 species
GUUUUUGAAGCAUUGCGGAGGGCUGGUGUAAGAACAAUUGUAUUGUCCAACUUAAAAACCCAUCUCCGGACACUUUUAGAGGCCCUGAAAUGAGAUCACUUGUUUAAUGUAGUCGUUGUAUCUGCUGAGGUUGCAGCAGAAAACUCAAAUCCAACAAUAUUCUUGGAAGCUUGUGAGUUGUUGGGCGGGAAGCCUGAAGAGAUUGUACUCAGUCUAAGAUGA